rnacentral:rRNA from 1 species
AUUGAACGCUGGCGGCAGGCCUAACACAUGCAAGUCGAACGGUAGCACAGAGAGCUUGCUCUCGGGUGACGAGUGGCGGACGGGUGAGUAAUGUCUGGGAAACUGCCCGAUGGAGGGGGAUAACUACUGGAAACGGUAGCUAAUACCGCAUAACGUCGCAAGACCAAAGCGGGGGACCAUCGGGCCUCACACCAUCGGAUGUGCCCAGAUGGGAUUAGCUAGUCGGUGGGGUAAUGGCUCACCUAGGCGACGAUCCCUAGCUGGUCUGAGAGGAUGAACAGCCACACUGGAACUGCGACACGGUCCAGACUCCUACGGGAGGCAGCAGUGGGGAAUAUUGCACAAUGGGCGCAAGCCUGAUGCAGCCAUGCCGCGUGUAUGAAGAAGGCCUUCGGGUUGUAAAGUACUUUCAGCGGGGAGGAAGGCGGUGGAGUUAAUAACUUCACCGAUUGACGUUACCCGCAGAAGAAGCACCGGCUAACUCCGUGCCAGCAGCCGCGGUAA